rnacentral:misc_RNA from 1 species
UGCUAGUAGCUCAUCUUCAUCCCCUGGAAGCAAGAACCCAACUGGACUUGACUCAACCUCUUCUAAUGGAUCUUUAAUUUUAUCUUCCAAUUGAAGCUUGCUUAAGCUAGGUGAGCUAUCGUCAAUGGAUUGACCAUAGUGCUCAGACUCAUUGAAGUUUAAUUUUGCAUGUGGUAGCACAGGCAAUGAGCUAGAGAACAAGCUUGUAUCAGUUGAUGCAUGAUAUACAGUGGAUCCAAGGGGAAUGGCCCAAGCAUUCUUCUCUUUGUAAGGAGCCUUUGUUGAAGCAGCUUCAGAGUCGUUUGACAUAGGUUUCUUUAAAGGCUUCUCCAUUUAGUCAGUUCCUGCAAACACGACUCAUGAAACGGUUGCAAUUGGACCAAAAUCAGGAUGAUCGCACACUCCCAACACAAAGCUAAUACCAAAAUAGAGUCCCCAAUAGAUGAUUUAGCAGCAAAGAAGAAAAUUAAACAGUUUUCGUAAAAACAGAGGAAUUGCUUGCUUCUACACUUUCACUUCCUUUUCUCCCGCCGUGACACCAGUGAAGAACUUCUAGAGAGAGAAACCCAGAAACCAAA